rnacentral:tRNA from 1 species
GGGGUUAUAGGUCAGUGGUAGAGUGCUUACCAAGCAAGUGUGAGGCACUGUGUUCAAUCCUCAGCAACACCU